GACGAACGCUGGCGGCGUGCCUAAUACAUGCAAGUCGAACGGUCUUUUCUAUGGAAGCUUGCUUCCACUGAGAAGAUAGUGGCGAACGGGUGAGUAACACGUGGGUAACCUGCCCAUAAGAGGGGGAUAACAUCCGGAAACGGGUGCUAAUACCGCAUAGGUUUCUUGGUCGCAUGAUCGGGAAAGGAAAGACGGCCUUUGUGCUGUCGCUUAUGGAUGGACCCGCGGCGUAUUAGUUAGUUGGUGAGGUAACGGCUCACCAAGACGAUGAUACGUAGCCGACCUGAGAGGGUGAUCGGCAACAUGGGGACUGAGACACGGCCCAAACUCCUACGGGAGGCAGCAGUAGGGAAUCUUCCGCAAUGGACGAAAGUCUGACGGAGCAACGCCGCGUGAGUGAAGAAGGUUUUCGGAUCGUAAAACUCUGUUGUCAGAGAAGAACAAGUCGGAGAGUAACUGCUCCGGCCUUGACGGUAUCUGACCAGAAAGCCACGGCUAACUACGUGCCAGCAGCCGCCGUAAUAC
rnacentral:rRNA from 1 species